rnacentral:rRNA from 1 species
UGGCAGACGGGUGAGUAACGCGUGGGAAUAUACCUUUCGGUACGGAACAACAGUUGGAAACGACUGCUAAUACCGUAUGCGCCCUACGGGGGAAAGAUUUAUCGCCGAAGGAUUAGCCCGCGUUGGAUUAGCUAGUUGGUGGGGUAAAGGCCUACCAAGGCGACGAUCCAUAGCUGGUCUGAGAGGAUGAUCAGCCACACUGGGACUGAGACACGGCCCAGACUCCUACGGGAGGCAGCAGUGGGGAAUAUUGGACAAUGGGGGCAACCCUGAUCCAGCCAUGCCGCGUGAGUGAUGAAGGCCCUAGGGUUGUAAAGCUCUUUCAGCGAGGAGGAUAAUGACGUUACUCGCAGAAGAAGCCCCGGCUAACUUCGUGCCAGCAGCCGCGGUAAUACGAAGGGGGCUAGCGUUGUUCGGAAUAACUGGGCGUAAAGCGCACGUAGGCGGACUUUUAAGUCAGGGGUGAAAUCCCAGAGCUCAACUCUGGAACUGCCUUUGAUACUGGAAGUCUUGAGUCCGAGAGAGGUGAGUGGAACUCCGAGUGUAGAGGUGAAAUUCGUAGAUAUUCGGAAGAACACCAGUGGCGAAGGCGGCUCACUG